GGCUGGUCUGAUGGUAGUGGGUUAUCAGACCUUAUUAAUAUUAGUGUCACUAAAGUUGGUAUUCAACCCCCCACUGCUAAAUUUGACUGGCUUAAA
rnacentral:Y_RNA from 1 species